AAUUGAGAUGGAUAGAACAGGGAAUGUUUGUUUUCCUAGCUCUCGAAGUAGUCGAGGCGGUGUAAUUGGUCAGCUUGAUGUUGACAGAGUGGGUUUUCAAAAGCACUGCCAUUAAUACAUCUUAGCAUUGCCCGAGAUACUUUUCUUGGGAACUAUUUAUCAGUGUAAAAAAAAAAAAACAACAAAAAAAAAACUUUUGAAAGACCAGCCUAUGCUAAAUUUGACCUAUUCUUGAAAGAAAAUAAUGUCUGUUUAUAAACUAUUUGCAAGACAGUUUACUGCUUGCCUAGAUUUUUACAAGUAAAUCCUUCAGUUUCCUAUUAUUAAUAGCAUAAACCUGAUCUUGCUUUAGGACUGGGUCUCAGAGGAGGGGUCUAGGUCUAGAUCUCAGCAUGUGUAGAAUUGGUCUGGGUCUCAUGCAAUGUGGUCUUGGUCUAGAUCUCAAGUCUGUGGUCUCGGUCUAGAUCUCAGGGUCUGUGGUCUCGGUCUAGAUCUCAGGGUCUGUGGUCUCGGUCUAGAUCUCAGGGUUUAUUAACUUGGUCUAGAUCUCAAGGUCUGUGGUCUUGGUGUAGGUGUCAGGGUCUGUGGUCUUGGCCUAGAUCUCAUGGUCUGUGCUCGUGGCCUAGAUCUCAAGGGAUGUAGUCUUGGUUUAGAUCUUGGAUGGUGUGGUCUUAGGCUGAGUUUGUACUUGUUUUAUCUACAUGUACACAUGCAAGAUAACCUGGCAUGCAUAUCCUGUAUUCCUUUGGUCCAUCAGUUGUGCACAACCAAAACAGUUGAGGAGACAUGUGCACCAAGAUAGGACAGGGGACAUAUAUGAAGCAGUGCAUGCAUUCUAGUCACUGAAAAAUGUGCCCACUUCUGCAACAAGAUUGGUUUAAUGGCCUGAUGUACCAUCUACAUUGUCACAGUUUCUGCCACUUACUCAAGAUACACCAUCAUAGCCUCCUCAACUCCCACUAUCUUCACCGUUCAUCCUACUUUUCAAAAUCAAAAGAGGUGGUCAAAGAAAGCAUUGUGGUCCUGGCGACCUGCAUCUAGCUGACAUCACUUUGAAUCAUCUGGAUGUACAAAAUUUAUGAAAGCAAGUAUGUGCAAUAAUGUCACUGUGAUAGCCAGGUGUCAGCUAUGACCCAUCAUUAGGGUGCAGGUUAUUGGCUUGGGUUUCAUGGGGUUUGUUCUACAUCUGGGUUUCAAGGCAUUUGGUCCUAAGGGUUGUGGUCUUGGUUUUGUUCUGGGCUUCUGGUGGUGUAGUUUCAGUUUUGCUCUGAGUCUCAGGGGUGGGGUAAUGUUCUGGGUAUUAAGAGAUGUAUUAAGAGUUGAACUUAGGAUAUGUGGUAUUGGUCUAGAUCACGGUUGGUGGCAUCUUAGUCUAGUUCUCAUGAAAUGUGGUAUUUGCCUUGCUCUGGGUUUAAGUUAGUUGCCUUGUUGGUCAGGGUCUUAGAUGGUGUGGUUUUGUUUUGAGUCUCAAGAGGUAUGACCUUGGUCCGGGUCUCAGGGUUAGACCUGGGAUAGGUCUCAAAUAGUGUUUUUUUUGUGGGGCUUCAGCUGUAUGGCCUUAAGGUCUGGUUCUCAGAGAGUCUUGACUAUAAAUAUGGUAUGUAUACAGCAUAUACAGUAUCCUCUGAAAGUAUUGGAAUGGCAAAGUUAAUUAUUAAAAAAAAUUACUAUACACUGAAGACAUUUGGGUUUGAGACUGUUUUGUUUUGGGGGGUUUUUUCUUCACAGCUGUCACAAUGUUUCUGCCAUCGACUGCUGCCAUUUUCCUGGCUGACCUUUUCAGUGUUUGCUUAUUAGUACACCAGUGGUUUCUUUCUUUUUCCUCACAUUCCAAAUGGUUGCAUUGGCUAUGCCCACUCCUAGUGGAGUGACUUGCUUUCUGGCAUAGACCGGUCUUCAUGUUGGUUUAUCCUUUUUAACAACAAAUGCAGUCUUCACAGGUAAAACUCAGGGUUAAAAGCGAAGACUAGACAUCACGAGGUAUUAAUUGUCUAAACGAUCAAUCCAACAAGGCACACCUGGGCGACAAGAAACACCCGUCAGUCACGUGCCGAAAUUUUUGCUCACUUAAAAAUGGGUGGGUACAAACGAAAAGAUGCCGUGUUGUUUAACACAUCUAGACGGAAAUAACAGGAAAGCUGAAAUUCAUAUUCAUCUUCUGAUCUCAAACGCAAACGUCUUCAGUUUACAGCAAAAACAACGCUACCGGCCUUGCUGUUCCAAUACUUUCAGAGAGGACCGUGUGCGGCAUGUAGUCC
ensembl:lncRNA